UCGUGCACCCAGCCCCUCCCCUUCGUGCAGAAAACAGACUAGAUAGUUGAUGUUCAUAUUUCAGAUUUCACUUUCUGGUAAGAGUCUUAGAAAAUUCAUCAAGCACGUGGAAGCACAUCACUGGUGCAGGCAGAGAAAAUUCAUCAAAGCUUAGAGGAAAUUGGGCAAACAUGCUUAUUUCCCUUCUAUUAGAAUAUAAUCAGCAAAGAAGAGAUACACAAUUGCACGUCACUUAAAGGAAAAUCAGUUGAUUGAGAUACGCACAUCUCUCUAUUCAAACUUAUAAAGAGGUAAUCUGGGUCUCUUUGGUUUGAUGGCAAAAUAACAAAAUCAGUCUUCUCUUCUUACUGCUUGUUGUGACCUUGCUGCCAUUGAUGUAAUCGGACGCGAUCUUGGAGUUUUCGGCUCUUCAAGGUAAAAUUUUGUUAUUAUAACUAUCAAUUGCUUUGUGAAAUGCUUGAAUUUUCCCUAUUUUGUAUUUUGCCCAAUUCUGAAUUUGCACUAUAUGAUUCCAUCUCGAUAUUCUUUUGUGUUCGUGCACUUGAGUUUAUUGGGGCUAACCAUAUGUGUUGUUUGUACUAAUGUGAACUCCUGGUAGGAUCUUUGAUUGAAAAUAAAACGAGUGGAUAUGCAUCUCAUUCUAUAGAGAAUAGACUGCAAGUAGAAGUUGGUGGAAACUAAUGUAUUUUUACUUGUAUAGCGGUAGGAAAUUGAAAGAAAAGUUAUUGCCUAAUCACUUAAACAGAAUAUAAUUAUGAAUAUGUACUUGAAUCUUGUCUAAUCUUUACAGUCAAGUGUGUCACGAAAUUGAAAUAGAUAUUUCCACAUAAGUUCCAUGAAACUAUAAACUUGGUCUUAAAUACUUUUAUAAGGAUUGCACCACAACCGUUAAUGAACGAUAAUCUACUUAUGUUUGCAUGCACAUGGAUUAGCAAAGAAACAUGAAACAUUAGAUUUGGUUUCAUAUGUAGUAUUACAAGAAUGAUGAUUAAAAAGUACUAUAAUGUUAUUAACAUUCACCUGGAUUAGAUCCUUCUUUGUGUAAUGCCCUUGUAAUGUUGGAUCUACCAUUUCAACUGCUUUUUCUUUAUUUGUCAACCUUGGAAGAGCCUAAAAUAAUAGAGAAAACAGAUUUAGGCAUUGUUUCAAUUAAACCCUUGAAUCUUGUAUAGGGAAAGAGUUUCGUUGUUGAUAUUAAUUUUUAUACACUAACAAUAUUAUAAAUAACUGAUAUACUAUUAGGUUGAAGUAAGGCAGAUAACGCUCUAGAACUGGUUAAAAUAUUAAUUGGUACUAAUGUUUAUAGAUGUGUAGUAUUAGAUACUGACCGAUGAGACCAACACAUGUUAGGAGGCUGCUUUGUAUCAAUUGGUACACGGCCUGUCAAUAGCUCUAGAAGAACCACACCAUUAUUGUAUACGUCUGAUUUGUUGUUAGUUUGCCAGUUGAUGCAUACCUGUUUUAAGAAAUGGAGUUGGCUGGUCACAAAAUCUAAAAAUGUUAGCUGUAGUUUGGAAUAACAGAGGUGUGGAGGACUACGUUUGGUAGAUUUUUAUUUUAGGAAAGUAUGUUAGUGUCAGCUGUAAGUCUUGAAUAAAUAACAGAGAGUGCCAAUGUGCUAAGAUAGAAACUGAAGCAUCUCCAUGUGAAAUACUGUCUUAUUUUCUCAUUCAUUGAGCAAGCAUGGAGAUGUAAUACUCAGUUUGGGGAAAAUAUCAUGUGGUCCGUAUUGUAACUUAUAUUCUUUUUCUUUUUUUGAGCUCGAUAUAUGAAGAUCAAGUAGGAUUGGAUAAAUUUAUUAAAAAGAGAGUAGACGAGGUGCAGAUUGGUUUGCAAGUUUUUUGAGCAUAUCAUGGGUGUUAGAAUGUCUCAUAUUAGUGAGGGAAUAUGUUAUUUUAACUCCUUUUAUAGCUUGGAUAAUCUCACUUCAUGUGUUAGCUUUUGAGAUUGAGUUAGCUAGAAGGUGAAUUUCUUUACAGUAGAGGCUUAGCUCCAGUACAUUCAUAUUUGGGCCUUCUUGAGCUUGGGAUGGGUAGCUGGGUAAAGUUGUGCCCUUUUUCUUUUAUAGAUUUGAACUGUCACACUAUUCUCAUUGAGUUUAGUUAAUUACAAUAGUAAAAUAUUACUUAUUGAGAUCCUUAUUUGCCAAUGUCUACACCUUUAGAGUGGGGGACUAAGCAGGGAAAUUGGAGUUCGGUAAUGAGUAGUUAAUAACCAAUCAAAUGAUGUCUCAACAACAAGGAUGUCAGCUUUAGGUACAAACUAAAUUAUGAACAGAUAUAACUAGCUAACAGUGAGCAUCAUACUUCAAAAAUCAGACCGUGUGAGAGCGGGAACACAAGUGUAUACCCAAGAAAACUUACAGAAGCUUCAUUCAUAGGUUGUUGUUCUUUGUUCUUACUCUUUUCAUAAGCUGCCUGCAGUGCAAACUGAUGUAAAGAGGAAUGAAAAGCAGCCAAUUAGUGACUAACUACUUUCAAUACACUUAAAAACACCUUUGGUUAUGCCUGACGCCGCUGGCUAUCACGCUCAAUAUUCCUCAACCUCUUCUCUUCUUGCAACUGUUAAUACUUUCAGCAGUGCUCUUCAAUAUUUUGAGCAUUAGGUUCAAACUGCCAUAUGUCCAGGCCAAAGAACUUCCUUUUUAAAGUUUGAAGAAAUUUUUUCCUUCUCUUGCUCUUAAAUUAAGUCAAACAAUGAAAUUGAACUACAUAUAAUAGAAAACCAUGUGACCCAUUUAGAAGGUUCAGGUACAUCAGAGAGAAGGCGUAAUGGACAAGGAGAAGUUUGAAUGUAUGACCUUUGUAAGUAUCUUGGCUAUCUCUUCAUCAAAACAUAUCAUAGAUUCCACACGAAGAUCACUAGUUGCAUCUUUCCAUAAGCCCAACAUUGCUCAAGCUAUACCCCUCACUUUGUGUCCUUUUGUUGAGUCAGGGUUGACAUUCAAUGAAAUGAUGCAAGCGUCAUUAGGACUUACAACUCCAAAAUACAGUCACAAGCAUAAAUGAACUUGAAAUUUCUUUCUAGCUAAUGUAAGAAUGACUUGAAAUAGCUUUUGAAACACCUUUAAAGCAGCAUCAACAUCACGGAUUGCGGCAUUGGGUUUUUCAGCUUAAUAAAGACAUUAGCUGCAUAGACAUUAGUAUUUGUCAAAAGACCACAUGAAGGACAUGAUACGAAAUAACUAACAUUAAUAUGGUAAAUAGGGCAGAUACAAACCUCUUAUUGUGUAUAAUACUGCAAAAUUUGGAUUCGACAAAAUAGGUUCAGUUAAAUGAUUUAUGGCUUCAUUAAGCUUGCCUUCGAGGAAUGAACAGUUCCAAUAAGGUGUAACUUCUCUAAUCAGUUUUGUAAAAAGAGGAUCUUCAUUACACAAUUAGGUAAAGAUUAACAUGCCUUCAUAUAUUACAUCCGAUUCUUUCACUUUUGAUAUUUGGGCAACAUCUGGAUUUUCAUCUGUUACUUCCCUUGUAGAAUCUCCCAUUUGUAAUUAGACAACAAUGAAAAGCUCAUUUUAAGUAUAAAAGACAACGCUAUAAUUGCAUCCACCAAACCCCUUCAUGACAUACAUGUGGAGGAUCAUUGUCAGGCUCCACAAUAUCAAUGUUAUGCAACUCGAUAUUAGACUUUAUAAUGUCUUUAUCUAGUUAAUCAAGAUGCUCUUCACCACGUUGUUCCUGCAAACUCAUUCCUAGGUAUCAAUACAUGAAAAUAAACAUCUCCCUAUCCCACAUUGAAUGGCAUAUUUCUAAAUCUUUAAUUUGGCUCAUGCGAAAACGAUCAUUACUUCUCAAAAUACCAAAUAUCAUGUAGUAUAACAGAUCCUACUAAUUUACUUCUUACAAAAUGAGGGAAAUUGUAAUAGUAUGGCAGCAGAUGAGGGACAAUAUCAUCUUUAUGUGUGACCUGAAUUGUAUUUGGCACCCAUUUGAUAUAGUUGGACACAAAAGUAACAUUCCCGAUUCGAGGUUAUCCAAAGGUGAUAACUGAAACAUUCCGCGAGCCAUAAUUUAUUGUGAGAUCAAAUCCAAAAAACGAAGUCAUUGCCCCCUUCCAUGGAAUGUUUUGUCACCAUAAUGGGAAUGUAUUUUCAAUUCGUGUUUUGUAAGGUUAAUGCAAGUUCUUAUAUUAUGCUAUGAUUUCUUCAUUAUUUUCUUCACUUUUUAUAAGAUUGUUUACUAUUUGUCUUAUCUACUGCAUAGUAUGUACAUUUGCUACAUUAUUGUAACUUGUAUUGUUGCGACUAGCCUCAAUUUGAUAGUUUUUGUUGAGUGCUUAUAUGAUGUAACAUUAAAGUAUAUAAUAUGUUGCUUGCCUACUUUCGCAUAUGCUAAAAGUAUUAUUGCACCUCAAGUAAUGUCGACUUAGUUGUUGUUAACAGAUGUUGGCUUGCUACUACUUUAGCAACUGAUAUUAGAUGAUGAAGUAUUAUCUACAAUCCUUAAGUGUUUAGCUACUGCUUAUAAUAAUGUGAUUACUACAGAAUCUUCUUAUCUUAAUUAUUAUUUAUUUAAGAGGAAAAUCAAUAGAUUGAUUAAAGUUAGGAAUUUAUUCAACAGUGGCAUGUGUUUAAAGAAGAACUCCAUUCAUUUCUCGUUACCACUCAUCACUUAUAUAUCAUCAAGCUUGCUCAUCUAUUGGACUACAUAUUCUUAGAGUGUUCUUCUCAUCAAGGUAAGUUUCUGCUUUUGUAAGUGUAUUAAUGAAUUUGAUUCUAUGAUACAUCUUGUUAGGGAAGUGUGGGAUUAGAUACAUGAUCCUCCUUGAUCACUGAGUUACUUCAUUUUCUGAAGAAAUCCUCUUAAAUAUGUGAUGGGAUCUCUUAGGAAGAUGUAUGUACACAUGCCUAUUGAGAAUUUCAUUAUUGAAUACCUGCAUCAGGAGUCAUCUGAUUAAGAGCUUCGGGAACUAAAAUUGAGAACAAUAGAAAGAUCCUCAUUGGUGUUAUACUCUUCAAUUCAUUUAGAAAUCUUUAGUCUGAGUACAUCAAAAGCAGAUACUAGUAGUAAAAUAUAGAAGAAAGAGAGAGCUUAACUAUGGCCUUAAGCUAACUGAAUUUAUUUACCAGAGAAAAAUGUGAUAUACUAACUAAAGUAGAGCAUGUUAAACUUAAACACUAAAUAGAGUUAGUUUUUCAGUUCUUUGUGCUGAACCUACCAACAAAAAAAUGUAUUUUUGAAGGGGUAAUCUUUUUUUGUUUAGUUAUUUGUUUAUGUACUGUAGCAAAUUUUUGUACUGAACAGAGCAAUUGGGUCAUACAAGUAAUUGGUUGUCAUGUAAACUUUUGCUGGGAAUUUGAAUUGAUUUGAUGAAAUUGUAGUGUCUUUAGUGGAAGACUACUGCACUAUGUUAAGAAAAGUAUAACCUGGACAACUAUUUAACUUACUACCUUAAAGAUAGAUAUGUCCAUAAAUAUGAUUUUCAGCAGCCCUUAAAUACAUUACUUUGAAUGGACACCACUAACACUAAAGAUCAGAAAAGCUGUGAUUAUGCAACUGUACAUUCUAAAGAAAGAGCUAGAUGUAGAAUUAUCAAUGCUUCAUUAUGGUGAGUAAUCUGGAAAGAGAUGAAUUCUAGGUGUUUUAAGAGCAUACAGAGAGUGUGAUAUAAUUGAUGUUUAUACUCAUAUGGACAUAGUACAAUGAAUAGAUGGAGUUCAUCUGUAAAUGAGGUAUAACAUGGAAAGCACUGCCAAAGAAUGUAUAAAACUAGAGAAUGGAAGGCACUGCCAAAGAAUGUCAAACAAAUUCCUCUUGAUCUCUCUGCUCAUGCUCGGGAGACAUCACUUAGUUUUUGUAGAGUCCAUGAGAAUUUUUAUUUUAGUGAUCUUGUAGAGAAGAGACUUCUAAGCCUUCGGCCUUCUUCUUUUUUAGUAAAUAACAGAAAUUAUUACCAAAAGUGCCAUGUACGAACAAGGAAAAAACAAGGCCUGAACAACCCCAACCUUGCUUAUGAGAGAAUCUAAACACUGAAACUAACUAUAGUUUGUAAUCUUGACAACCCAAUGCACUAGCUAGUUUUGUCUUCUUACAUCCUCUAAUUGUGGAUCUCCUAGACAAUAUUUUGUAUAGGAACACCCAGUUGGCCUUGACUUUUAUCAAAAUAUGUAUUUUGCAAGAGGAAUAUGGAAUGAUGCAGCUGCUAAAGUUUCUACUGAAGUUUGCAGUGAUAAUGAAUUAUAAGAAUCAAGGUGCUUUUAUUAGAAACUUUAAUGUUCUGCAUCCUUUUUAGUAAAUAUGUUGAGGUUUUAUGUUUUUUAUUUAUCAGUUUAUUUUCUUGUUAGUAUACUGACAUAAAUUUCUUUUUUACAGCUCAAGAAUUUGAAUAUGAAGAGUCUAUCAUUGAAGAAAGUAUCGAGCAAGUUGAAGUUCAAGAGUACUUUUACUUUGAUUAGAAAUGUAGUUGAAAGACGAUAUCUUAUUAUUUAUAUAUGUUUCAUUUUUUCUCUUUUUAGGAGUUGAUAAAGAUCUGUCAUAUAACUUUUAUGUAAUAUUUUUUAAAAUUAGUUCUUUGUAUUAACAAUGAAGUUGUACAUUCAAUUACUAAGUAUAUUUUCUUGUGUUCCAAUGUAUGAAACAAUUAAUAUUAUUUGCUAGUAUAAAUUAUUGUAUAAUAGAAAAUGAAAAUGAGUUUUCUAAAAGUCAUUUACCAACGGCUUAUCAAAUAAUGAAACGGAUAUUAACGACGGAAAACUUGAUCGUUAAAAGUAUUGGUAUUGAAACUAACAUACAAUUUGCGAAAGCAAUUUUGGUUGCAAAAAGUACAUGUACUAAGGGAAAAUCUGGUCGCUAAAGAGGGCAUAUAACGACUGGAAUUUAUGUGGUCGUUAAAUCUUCUUUCAACGACUGGAUAGAAACCUGUCGUUAAGCUUUUAAUGUCGGAGCUUUUAACGACGGGCAACAACCGGAUUUGGUCCAGUCAUUAUUGACAAUUAGAGACCGGAUUUGUACUUUUAGCGACCACAAUUCCCCUCAUUAAUGACCAGUUUUGUUGUACUGGUUUCAUCCAACCGAUUAUCUCUCCAUGGGGUGCUCCAGUUUUGUUUGUUAGAAAGAAAGAUGGUUCCCUUCGUACAUGUAUUGACUAUCGUCAAUUGAACAAGGUGACCAUUAAGAAUAAGUAUCCUCUUUCAAUGAUAGAUGAUUUGUUUGACCAACUUCAAGGAGUGAGUUACUUCUCCAAGAUUUACCUUCGGUUGGGUUAUCACCAAUCGAGGGCGAAGGAAGAUGACAUUCCAAAGACGGCCUUUUGAACUCGGUAUGGUCAUUAUGAGUUUUUGGUGAUGUCAUUUGGGUUGACUAAUGCUCCGACGACAUUUAUGGAAUUGAUGAAUAGGGUGUUUAGACAACACCUUGACAUGUUUGUGAUUGUGUUCAUUGAUGAUAUAUUGAUAUAUUCAAGAAGUGAGGAUGAGCAUAUUGAUCAUUUCAGGAUCGUGAUACAAAUUCUCAAGGACCAACAAUUUUUUGCAAAGUUUAGCAAAUGUGAAUUUUGGUUGAGGUCUGUGGCUUUCCUUGGUCAUACUAUUUCAAGUAAGGGUAUUGAGGUAGAUCCUAAGAAGACGGAUACGGUUAAGAGUUAGUCUAGACCUCUAUCCCCUUCAGAUAUUAGAAGUCUCUUGGGUUUGGCUGGUUACUACAAAAGGUUUGUUGAGGGGUUAUCAUCGAUUGCCUCUCCAUUGACAACAUUGACUCAAAAGAAGGCUAAGUUCAUAUGGUCCGAAGAAUGUGUAAAUAAUUUUUAUGAAUUGAAGGAUAGACUUACUACCGCUCCGGUGUUGAGCUUACUGGAAGGGACUGAUGGUUUUGUGGUGUAUUAUGAUGCCUCAAGAAUUGAGUUAGGAUUUGUUCUUAUGCAAAAUGAAUUAGCCAUUGCCUAAGCUUCAAGACAACUUAAAAUUCAUGAGAAGAAUUAUCCUACCCACGACCUCGAACUAGUGGCGGUUAUUUUUUCCUUAAAGAUUUGGAGGCACUAUUUGUAUGGUGUUCAUGUGGAUGUCUUUACUGACCACAAAAGUUUGCAAUACGUGUUUAAUCAGAAGGAUCUAAAUCUUCACCAAAGACUGUGGCUUGAGUUAAUGAGAGAUUAUGAUAUGAGUGUUCUCUAUUACCCUGGUUAGGCAAAUGUGGUGGCAGAUGCCCUUAGUCGAUUAUCUAUGGGAAGUGUUGCACUUGUUGACAAAAAAGAGUUGGUUUGAGAUGUUCAUAGAUUUGCCCGGUUGGGUGUUCACAUAGUGGACUCUACCAAGGGUGGUGUUAUGGUUAACAGCGGCUCAGAAUCGUCUUUUGUGGCGGAUGUGAAGGCCAAGCAAGGUCUUGAUCCGACUUUGGUUGAAUUGAAAGAGGCGGUGCUUAAAAAGUCUGUAGAGGCUUUCUCCCAAGGGGGAGAUGGGGUACUUAGAUAUCAAGUUCGUUUGUGUGUUCCCAAUGUAGACAGCUUGAGGGAGCAGAUCUUGUCAAAAGCCCAUAGUUCUUGGUAUUCCAUUCACACAAUAGCCACCAAGAUGUACCGUGAUUUGCGGGAGAUCUAUUGGUGGAAUGGGAUGAAGAAGAAUAUUAUGGAAUUUAUGGCUAAGUGCCCUAAUUGUCAACAAGUGAAACUUGAGCAUCAGAAACCGGGAGGUUUAUCCCAAUCCAUUAGCAUUCCUCCUUGGAAUUGGGAAGAUGUGAAUAUGGACUUCAUUGUUGGUUUAACGCUCACUAGACGACAACAUGACUCGAUUUGGAUUAUAGUAGAUCGAAUGACGAAAUAAGCCCAUUUCAUUCCCGUCAAGAUUUCUUAUUCCGCGGAGGAUUAUGCUAUGUUGUACUUGAGAGAAUUGGUAAAGUUGCAUGGAGUGCCUUUGUCCAUUAUUUCGAUUGUAGUACCCAAUUCACUUAUGUAACAUCUCGCAUCUAGAAACGACUAUAAAGAGUUUAAAAUAUGGAAAUAUUGAUUUUUGGAAAGAUUAAGGAAGUCUGGAAAUUUUUGUCUAAGUUAAGAAAGUGAGUUUUGGCCAUUUUCAAAUAGCCAUAACUCCUAGCUCAGGAUGAUUUAGGAGUAUUUCUUGAUAUGGUUGGAAAAUCCCUUGGAGAUAUCUUUCCAACACCGCCAAGUUUGCACGAUUUCGACAUCAUAUGAGUGAGAUAUGCCUUUCGGAAGUUGGCUGUUGGAUUGAGGAAGUCCCAAUCCGGAGUUAGGGAAGGGUAAAGUAGUCUUUUCUCUAAUUUAUUUCCUAAUUCGUUUUUAGGGAUUUAUUGGGGUAAAAACUUAUUUUGGUCAGAUUAGUAAAAUUAAAUUCACGCUUAGGGCUUGGAGAAAAGAGAAAAGAAGAAAGAAAGGGAGAAAAGCCAAGAUUUCGCCAAGAACGUCAAGCGUUUGGAGUGGAAUUCGUCGGGGGUGAUCCCUAUUAAGGUAUGUGAGAUCUUUUAGUGAUGGUUUAGUUCACCCACACACCAACUUGUUUCAAUUCAGCGAUUUUGGGUUGUUUACAUGUUAAAAAGUGAAGUUCUUGAAGGACAUCGUUAAGUUCUUGAUGGUUGUGUUGUUGAAGUUUCUUGUUGAUUUUAUUCGUGUUUUCGGGUGGAUUUUUGAGUUAGAUCUGUUGUAAGUUGAGAGUACUUUUGAUCCUAAAUGUUUGGGAAAGAACCAUGGAAGUAAGAAGGGCUUAGAGAUGAAAAAUGGAGAAGAAAAUCGUCAAAAACCUGGGGAAGGGGGUAGGGCAUCGCGCCAGCCAGCGCGCCCCUAAAGAGGCUCUAAAGUUCACCCCUUGGGGAAACGCGCCAGCCAUCGCGCCCCAGUUGGUCCUCUGAAGUUUGAGGGUUGCCGCCCCGCGCCUCUCAGAGCGUCACGGACGCCAGUUCUCCCCAUUCUUUCCCCACCUUCUCGUACUUGUUCCUAAGUGAUGUACCUAUGUUUCCUAGUCGAUUCCAACACUCUAAAGUAUAUCUAAACAUCAUGAAAUCAUCCAUAAACAUGAGAUCAUGAACCUUGAAUCCAUAAUCCAAUUCAAGGAAAGUUGAGUUCAAAGUCAAAGAAGUUAUAAGUCAAAUCUAGAAGUUAAGAAGCAAGUCAAAACAAAGUUUCUUAAAGUUUUCAAGGGUCUUUAACAAUGUUUUAACGUCGUUUUAAGACUUAAGUUUUGAAGUUAAGCAAGAGUAAAGCUNNNNNNNNNNNNNNNNNNNNNNNNNNNNNNNNNNNNNNNNNNNNNNNNNNNNNNNNNNNNNNNNNNNNNNNNNNNNNNNNNNNNNNNNNNNNNNNNNNNNNNNNNNNNNNNNNNNNNNNNNNNNNNNNNNNNNNNNNNNNNNNNNNNNNNNNNNNNNNNNNNNNNNNNNNNNNNNNNNNNNNNNNNNNNNNNNNNNNNNNNNNNNNNNNNNNNNNNNNNNNNNNNNNNNNNNNNNNNNNNNNNNNNNNNNNNNNNNNNNNNNNNNNNNNNNNNNNNNNNNNNNNNNNNNNNNNNNNNNNNNNNNNNNNNNNNNNNNNNNNNNNNNNNNNNNNNNNNNNNNNNNNNNNNNNNNNNNNNNNNNNNNNNNNNNNNNNNNNNNNNNNNNNNNNNNNNNNNNNNNNNNNNNNNNUAGAAGAGGUUCAUACUUUUUAGAUGAAUCCUUUUCAAGAUAGACUAGUGGAUCCAUUAGGCAGUUCAGGUUCUAUACCUUUGGCCGGGUAUAGGAUGCUCUGGCAGCGUGAGGUUGAUCGUUGUAUCAUCAUUAUAGCUCUUAUGUGAUGGUUGUCGGUUAGAGAAACUCCCACAGCAGUUAUUGUAUUUUUAUAUACAUCAUUUCAUUUGUAUUUCUACAUACAUCUCAGAUUAUUGUAUCUUUGCGUACACACAGAGUUUAUAGCAUGUUUUUAAACAGGUUUUCUUUAUAUUGCACUUGUUUUAAAUUGCUUUAUAUUGAAAUGAGUCAGUCAGGUUAAGUUGAGUUGAGCCAGGUAAGUUAUUCAGUUUCUUUCAGCUUCCUUCUAGCCUAUGUUGCUUAGCAUUCCAACUUGCAUACUCGUACAUUCAAUGUACUAAUGUCAGUUGGCCUGCAUCUUAUUAUGAUGCAGAUUCAGGUAACUAGGAUCAGCAUCCAGCGCCUCGUUGAUCCAGUUGAGCAGUUCAAAGUCAGUCGGUGAGCCUCCUUGUUUUCCGGAGGAUCCAUUUCAUUGCUUUCUAGUUUAGUUUUUUUUUAAGGAUGUUGUGGGGUCUGUCCCAACAUCCAUCUCAGUUGUUAUUAGAGGCUUCAUAGACAAUCAGAUGUUAGUCCUUUGAGUCUUUUCAUUAUCAUUUCUUAUUGUUAAGACUUGGGUUGCCACUUUUGGCCAAGUUGAAUGUUUAAUCUUUAAAAUAUUCUCAGUUAUUUUAUUUCAGUUCAAUUAAGUUCAUUUAUCAUUAUAGAUAUGAAUAUUGUCUUCCGCUGAGUUAGUAAGUCAGGCCAAGGUGCGCUUGGGCCAGCAAUGGUCUUCGAGUGCUAGUCCCGCCCAGGCUGUAGGCUCGGGGCGUGACAACUUCUCAGUUUUGGAGAUCUUUUCAAAAGGGUCUUGGUACUCGUGCUAAGCUUAGCAUGGACUUUCAUCCACAAACUGAUGGGCAAGUGGAGCAUACUAUCCAAACCUUGGAAGAUAUGUGGAGGGCUUGUGUGAUUGAUUUCAAAGGUAAUUGGGAUGACCAUUUUCCAUUGAUCGAGUUUGCAUAUAACAAUAGUUAUCACUCAAGUAUUGGUAUGAGGUGUAGAUCCCCUAUAGGAUGGUUUGGGGUGGGUGAAGUUGCCCUAAUAGGUCCCGAGUUGGUACAUGAGGCUAUGGAAAAAGUUUGACUUAUUAGAGAAAGGUUAAAACGGCUCAAAGUCGACAAAAGUCAUAUGCCGAUGUGAGAAGAAGAGAUCUUGAGUUUGAUGUUCAUGAUUGAGUUUACUUAAAAAUGUCACCCAUGAAGGGCGUAAUGGGGUUUGGUAAGAAGGGGAAUCUUAGUCCCCGUUAUGUAGGCCCAUAUCAGAUUUGGAGGCGUGUUGGUAAGGUUGCUUAUGAACUUGAAUUUCCUAAUUAAUUGGCAUCGUUACAUCUUAUUUUCCAUGUCUCUAUGUUGAAGAAAUGUGUUGGUGAUUCAACAUUAGUUCCAUUAGAAGGUUUGGGAGUUAAGGAGAAUCCUUCCAAUGAAGAAGUUCCGAUUGAAAUUUUAGACGGGUAAGUCAAGAAGUUGAGAAAUAAAGAAGUUGCUUUGCGAAAGUGUUGUGGAGGAAUCAGUUAGUUGAGGGUGCUACUUGGAAGGCCGAAGCCGAUAUGAUGUCCCGAUAUCGUCAUCUCUUUCCUUCUACCCCUAAUCUAGCUUGAGGUAAUGAGUUCCUCAUGGUUUACUCUUUUGGUGUCAUGUGUCUUAUAUAUUCCCAUAAUUUCCUCAUUUAUGCAUGUUCAUGAAAAGCUUAAGUUUUGAGAAAAUGAGUCAAACUUGAUUGAUUUCUACAUGUUUAUGUGCAUUUGAGUAUGAGUUGCAUAUAGACUAUAUGAUGUUUAGAACAUGCUUUAGCUUGGAGUUGAUGUUUCCUCCUCGGAUAUGUGGAUUUAUGAAAUUGCUUGCAUCUUGGGUUGUUAGAUUUAGUUUCUACUUCCUCAUGAUGUCUUGAAUCUCUUUCGAGGACGAAUAAUUCCAAGGGGAAGAUAAUGUAACACCUCGGAUUCGAGAAAGGGUAAAAAUUUCAACUUUUAAGAAAUCAGGUGCCAGUUCCUUCGAAGCCAUCCAUGGCCCGUGGAACGACCCACAUACUGUAGGAGGUGUACGUGGUUGGCAAUUGAGUUUUUCCAAAAAAAAGGGUCUAGAUCCACGGUCAGGAUCGACGGACCGUCGUUGGACCCACGGUCCGUGGAUGAGGUCCAUCGACCAAGGCCUCGAAUUAUGGUUUCUAACACCAAAUGACGGUCGAACAGGAUGGACUAUCGGUUGAACCACGGUUCGUAGGUCAUCCUCGUUAUCUGGGUCGGCAGUUAAUUGUUAGGGGCUUUUGGGUCUUUUCCUAAUUAGUCUAGCCUUAUACUAUGUCGUUUUACCCUUCACAAAAAUCCCUACAUAAGUGUUUUAACUCCAAAAUUUCCCAAUUGAGAGUCAUUCUCUUAAAUUUACAAAAGAAGAACAAGUCUUCCUCCCAAAUAUUUCUCUCUCUAGAAAACUUGAAGAAGAAGGGUCCAAGCUAGGGUUUGCAAGACAAGUCUCCAAUUCCACCAUUGAAGUUAAGCAAUUGGCAUCGAGGUAUGAUAGUUUUCAUCCAUGGAUUCCUUCCAUUCAUGGAGUUCCCAAGUUAUCCUAUUUUCAAAGUUAGAAUUCACCAAUUGAGUUAGGGUUUUCUUCUAUGUUAUGGGUUCUCCUAAUUAUUGAUCUAAUUGAUUGAUUUACAAUCUAUGAUGCAUGAAUUGAGUUAAUCUCAUGAUUUUAUGAUGAUUCCCCAUGAACCCAUGUAAUCCCCAUGUGUUUCCAUGUUAUGAUCAAAUAAUGUGGAUUUUGGAUUAUAAAAGAAGAUUAUAUGAAAUCAAGCAUGAACUGAUAGAAUUACAUGAAUUUAUGAUGAAUUUCCAUAAAUCCAUGUCUAACUCAUGUUUUCUAGAUAUUGAUACAUGAAAGUGGGUUUUGUGCUAUGAAAGGUGGAUUAUGGAAUUAUGCAUAUUCUUAUGAAAUUGAUGUAAAUGUUUUAAGGAUGUUUUGAGAGUGAAGUAUCAAUAAUGUUGUUGUUGUUGUUGUGUUGUUGAAAGGAUUUAUCAUAUACACAUGAAAGCAUAUGGUUGUGAAAGGAUUUCUCACCUAAUAAGGGUUCUUAGGGUUGAAAGGUCUUCUCACCUAAAAUGAACCAAUGCUAAGAAACUAUUCUAAUGAUCAGGCAAGAGGCAAUUACCCAUGCUCUCUAAUUUAAAGACAAGAGGUGAUUACCCAUGUCAUACGAUAUACGGACAAGAGGAUAUUCCCAUGUCACAUGAUGUAAGGACAGGAGUCGAUUACCCAUUUUCCUUUAAGAGCUAAGAUGAAUAUGACUAAGAACUAUUAUGUGGAAGUUAAGCUUAGAAUCGAGUAGACAAGUGGUGAUUACCCAUGUCCCAUAACUAUGUGCCAACAUAGGAUUGUCUAGAUAAACAUUAGCUAGUGGAUCCACAAUAGCUAGAAGUUCAUGGUCCUUACCGUGGCAAGUAGGAAAACUCUUUUUUAGUGUGGGAGAUACCGAAUUCCAUGUUGUUAGCUCACAUGGUCUUAUAUGUCUGUUAAGUGAUACUUCCCACAAACAAGUAAAGUUAUAAUGAACCAAGGUUACUUCAAGAAGUAUUGUAAGUAAAUUUUAAGAUGACAUUCACUUGCAUUGAUCAUGUCUUAUGACUUAUGCUUCCUAACUCUCAAGUUUCAUGUUUUAGCUUGAUCAUUUCAUUCUCAUGAAAAUGUCCUAUUUUAGCAUGAUUUAAAUGUUUAUAUGCAUGGCUAUCAUACUUGGUACAUGUUUGUACUAACGCAUACGCUUGCCUACAUUUCUCCAAAUGUAGGGUCCGACAGUCAGGGCUCUCAGUUUCGUGGCUAGAGGUUGAUUUGAGAGAUUCCGGCUUUGGUGAGUCCUCAUGCUUCGAGGAUGGAUUUUCAUUGUUUUUAGUUUUCUUUCUUACUUUCAUUUUUGGACAUGAUGUAUGGACUAGGCCCAAUUUCAUUCUUAUGUACUAGAUGGCUAAUGAGACAAGUGUUUAGACUCCCGC
rnacentral:lncRNA from 1 species